UGAGGCUCAAUGGCAGAAUGCUUGCUUUGCAUGCAUGAGGCCCUGGGUUCAAUUCCCAGCA
rnacentral:tRNA from 1 species